GGAUUGUGGCUCAGUGGUAGAGCACUCACCUAGAGCAUGCAAGGCCCUGGGUUCAAUCCUCAGCACCA
rnacentral:tRNA from 1 species